rnacentral:rRNA from 1 species
CUUGCUCUGUGGAUCAGUGGCGAACGGGUGAGUAACACGUGAGCAACCUGCCCCUGACUCUGGGAUAAGCGCUGGAAACGGCGUCUAAUACUGGAUAUGUGACGUGGCCGCAUGGUCUGCGUCUGGAAAGAAUUUCGGUUGGGGAUGGGCUCGCGGCCUAUCAGCUUGUUGGUGAGGUAAUGGCUCACCAAGGCGUCGACGGGUAGCCGGCCUGAGAGGGUGACCGGCCACACUGGGACUGAGACACGGCCCAGACUCCUACGGGAGGCAGCAGUGGGGAAUAUUGCACAAUGGGCGCAAGCCUGAUGCAGCAACGCCGCGUGAGGGAUGACGGCCUUCGGGUUGUAAACCUCUUUUAGCAGGGAAGAAGCGAAAGUGACGGUACCUGCAGAAAAAGCGCCGGCUAACUACGUGCCAGCAGCCGCGGUAAUACGUAGGGCGCAAGCGUUAUCCGGAAUUAUUGGGCGUAAAGAGCUCGUAGGCGGUUUGUCGCGUCUGCUGUGAAAUCCGGAGGCUCAACCUCCGGCCUGCAGUGGGUACGGGCAGACUAGAGUGCGGUAGGGGAGAUUGGAAUUCCUGGUGUAGCGGUGGAAUGCGCAGAUAUCAGGAGGAACACCGAUGGCGAAGGCAGAUCUCUGGGCCGUAACUGACGCUGAGGAGCGAAAGGGUGGGGAGCAAACAGGCUUAGAUACCCUGGUAGUCCACCCCGUAAACGUUGGGAACUAGUUGUGGGGUCCAUUCCACGGAUUCCGUGACGCAGCUAACGCAUUAAGUUCCCCGCCUGGGGAGUACGGCCGCAAGGCUAAAACUCAAAGGAAUUGACGGGGACCCGCACAAGCGGCGGGAGCAUGCGGGAUUAAUUCGAUGCAACGCGAAGAACCCUUACCAAAGGCUUUGACAUAUACGAGAACGGG